rnacentral:lncRNA from 7 species
AAAGGGAUCAACCUUCCUACUCACAGGCUUCCAUGGCCAUGGAAAAAUCUUUUUUGAAGCUCCUCUUUGAGUUCCCUGUGGCAAGAAACAGCUGUUUCUGUUCUAAACUCGGCUCCUCAUGCUCUCAGGCCAAUCAUGUCAAUCUGGUGGAGUAAAGGUCUAAAGGUAAAUUAUGUUCACAUCUCUUUUUAGGUAUUUUUGUGUCCAGUAAUUGUAUUGGGUAUCUUCACAGUGAUUGAGAAUCAGGUGUCCCAGUGUAUUUUCCAGCCCUUCUGUAAUUUGCAAAUGCUCACAGUCAGAAAUGGUAUAUUACAAAGAGCCGCUCCUACUAAAAUAUCACCAGUGGGAAUCCAUCAGUGAAAUUUUAUGUUCCAUUAAUGAAAUUUCCAUUAGUGAAAUUAGUUAUACAGCCAACAUAACCAUCUAUUAUAUGUUGGAUCAACACUCCUCUCCCUUCCUGCCUUGGAACAGGCACACAAUUCAUGGCACUGCUACAACAGGGAGAUAAAAAGGGAGUGUUUUUGGAUAUAGAGUCUCUGCUAUAAAGUAGAAGCUUGCCUGUGAGGGGAAAUACAUCCAUAGGAAUACUGUUAAACAGCUAUUACUGAAAUAGUGUGACAACAUAUGUAGGUAGCUUCUCUCUGGAUUUAGAACACCACUUUUCAGUUUAGCAUAUGCCUGUUCAAGACCAUUUUAAGCCAAAAAUGAAAACAUGCUUGAAAUCACAUAGAGGUUCACAAAGGGACUAAAAUUAACUUACUCUCAGCGAUAUAAUUAAACCAGUAGAGAUGAUAAACUUCCCCAGAGAUAAACACCCUUAAAUAAACUCUAGUUCUGCAAUAGCGUAUUUUUUUCCCAGCUAACAACAAAACACAAAGGCACAGUUGCAUAAGCUGCUAUACCUCAUGAUGCCCCAUUGAAUGAGAAGGCUCAACAGUGGGUCUGUCCCACAUCAUAUUUGCUUAUGUUAUCAGAACAAUGCUGGAUGUGAGUAUCUCAGAAGAACAGUUACCCCCUAGCAAACAGUACUGGGGAAUAUUAUUUCAGUUCUGACGUUGAGAUCCUAAUAGCCUUCAGGAAGCACUGGGCGUGUAGGUUGCUGCCUUUUCCCUGUCUGGCACCUCAGUGCGAUAGUGCGGAAAAUAGACUGUGAAGCACAACCUUCACUCAGGUUGUUAAAAAUAAACACAUUUAUAUUUUGUGACCAAGGCUAGCACUGGCUCUAUUGCUCUCCAUAAACUUUCUAUCACCUCUAAAGAUUAACCAGCUUGGGAGCUUUUAAUAUAUCAUCAUCGUUACAUUUGCUUUGGGUAAAUUUACCUAAAAUGUCUUUGCAGAGGAAUGGGUUGCAAGGUAGCAAGGGAGAUGAGAAAUUGGUAUUCACAAGCUACUGCGUUGCAAAGGUUAGCUUAUAAAAAUGUCUGCUGGCUUGGGCAGUAUUCUUCAUUCUCAUUUUGGGGAAUGAAGGUUUGGUUACAUUAAGAUUUCUUACUCAUCCAAAAGUGCCCUCACAUACAUAAAUAAGAGAAGCUACCGAGUUCUGAAAAUAAAUCACUAAGUUUGCUUGGAGAAGUUUAGGAAUCUCUUAGGGUUGUGAAAAU